CUCCAAUAGUGUAUCUGAGUCUGCUUCUGAUAUUCACUUUGUUUCUUCAUAGUACUACUUUGCUGUUAACUUUUAGUAUGCCUUUUUUGUUGAAAUCUGGGCAAAAUCGUUGUCUUUGGAUUUCCGAAGAACUCUGGAUUAAGUAGAGUCCACAUACUGCAGCUCUUUCAGUUAUAAUCCUUCGUGUGUUAUGUGACUAGAGCCCUGUGGUGGGGAUGGUUCUUCUUGGCAUGACUAAUCCAACUCUCUCUUCAACUAGCACAUGUAUUAAAUGGAUAUAUUGGACAUGGUGAACAUAUAUGGGACAUAACAAUAAAAUAUUAUUUUUAAAACAUUUUUCCAUUACGUAGAAGAAUAAAUGGAUAUGUGA